CUGACUAGAGCCCAGGUCAGCCUGGAGGUCGCAGGCUUGUAUAUCCCUGGAGGGCCAUGUGGGCUGUUUGCUCUCUUGAGCCCGAGCCGAGACCUCUAGCGUUAUUCUCCCCACUACAGUGUUUUGCAAUGGGCAGCUCCAUAAACAGAGCUACAGGGUGGACCUUCUUUGCUUCUCCCUUUCAGAAUUCAAAAAGACCCUGGAAGAGGCCAUUCGAAGCGACACAUCAGGGCACUUCCAGCGGCUCCUCAUCUCUCUCUCUCAGGGAAACCGUGAUGAAAGCACAAAUGUGGACAUGUCCCUCGCCAGAGAGAUGCCCAGGUGAGUGUGAUGGCCAAGCCCCUGGACUUCCUAAAGCAGGGUGUACCUCGCUUUCUUGCUUCCUGAGAGAGGUGCCCUAGGGUGGAAAGAACAAUAGAUAAGCAGUGGGUUGCAGAUGCCACGAGUUUCAGACGUGCUGAACUGCUCAACUGUAUGACCUAGAGCAGGUCGUCUGACCUCCUGGGGCUUCACCUUCCCCACCUACGGAAGGAACAUGUGAGAUAAUUAGUAUUUCAGCAGUUGAUAGAUCACGGUUUUGGAUGUGGGAUUUCGUGCGACUGCGUACUUUCCCCAUGGUUUAGUUGCACAUACCAUUGUUUGCAAAGGGGCAGAAUUUGCACUUGCCUAUUAGUUUUUUGAGGGUUUGAGCCUAGAAACCAGCUGCCACAUUAGUUGAGCAGCCUUAGAAUUCUGUCCUUGUCCACCUGUGAGUUGCAGACAAAAGGGGAAACGUCCAAGCAGUCCAGGCAUCUGAGCUACUCUCUAGAAAAGUUUGGGUUUCCCGCUAAUGAAUUUCAACCGUAGUGUUAUGGCAGGGCAGAGCCAUGACUUCCUGGUGGGGUAGAGUUAGCCAUACCUCUCUGUCCCCCUUCACUGCCCUUGUCAUCCAUGGCAGGGCAUUCACCAGGAGCUGCCAGUGGUCUAAUUAUCUCUACCAUCUGCAGGUUUCGAAUGAGACCCCAAGGAGUGCCCCCCUUGUUAGGACUGGAGGAGAGCUACUCCUCUGGACUGGUCCUUUGCUUUCCAGAUGAGGAAACUGAGGCUCAAAAAAGUUGAGCACUGUUCCUAACUGAAAGCUAGAGGCAGAGCCCGGACAAGGGCCUAUACCCCUGGCUCGGUCCUCCAUGCCCAGUUAGCACCUGCCUCUGCCCUGGUCUCUGCCCUGCUGCUCCUGCAGGGGUCUGCCUUAUUCAGUGUCUCUCUGGCUGGUGACAUCCAUUCCCAUUCUGGGAGUCAGAGCUGGACAUCCCUGGGGCUCAGGGCUCUGGCUUUUGCUCCAGCGAGAGUUUUGCGUGCCAGUUUUAGCAGGGCAGAAAUUGUCUCAUGCUCUGCCUUCUCAGUUCAGACCUGCUUUGGCGUCAUCUUGACCUGUGGGAUCUCAGCCCCUGAUUGCUGCUUUCUGCUCUUUUUCAGGGCUGCUACCUGAGGCCUAGUAGGCACGUUAGAGGCCAUCUAGUUCAGAGGUUGCAAAUUGGCAAAUACUUUAGGCUCAAACCUUCAGAAGUUUACCAGGCUCUCCUGGGUGACCUGCUCCUGGGGU
rnacentral:lncRNA from 1 species